rnacentral:rRNA from 1 species
CCUACGGGUGGCAGCAGUGAGGAAUAUUGGUCAAUGGGCGCGAGCCUGAACCAGCCAAGUAGCGUGAAGGAUGACUGCCCUACGGGUUGUACACUUCUUUUAUAAAGGAAUAAAGUGCGGCACGUGUGCCUUUUUGUAUGUACUUUAUUAAUAAGGAUCGGCUAACUCCGUGCCAGCAGCCGCGGUAAUCCGGAGGAUCCGAGCGUUAUCCGGAUUAUUGGGUUUAAAGGGAGCGGAGAUGGGUUGUUAAGUCAGUUGUUAAAGUUUGCGGGUCAACCGUAAAAUUGCAAUUGAUACUGGCAGUCUGGAGUACAGUUGAGGUAGGCGGAAUUCGUGGUGUAGCGGUGAAAUGCUUAGAUAUCACGAAGAACUCCGAUUGCGAAGGCAGCUUACUAAACGGCAACUGACACUGAUGCUCGAAAGUGUGGGUAUCAAACAGGAUUAGAUACCCCAGUAGUC